GGGGACGACAGGCUUCGACGUGGACGUUCCGUGGAGGCAGUUGCGAGUCGAGGUCCCCGGUAGGCCUCGUUAAACAACCGGGAAAACCAUAAGUGCGGAUCGUAAUCACGAAUUCGCGCUCGCUGCCUAGCCAAACCUAGGUAAACGAGCUGUCGGCCUCCGCUCGGCCCGUGGCGGACUCACCGGCAUCAAGCAACGGGCUUCGCCCGCCGCGGCUGCCCUCGACGCGGCGGGGACAUCAAGAGGGCUGGCCUCCCGCUACCCCGCCGGCACGGCGAUCGGGAGGCGAGACUCAGAGAGCCGGCUACGCUCGUAGAAGCUGCCUCUAACGCGCCCGCGGACGUGGGUUCGAUUCCCACCGUCUCCACCU
rnacentral:tmRNA from 1 species